CUCAGUCACUCGAUCUUGCACUGACUAGCCGGGCUGCCGCACCCCGCGGGCAGCAAGAGAAAAGGAGACUACGGGAUGGCUACUGGCACCGUAAAAUGGUUCAACUCAACAAAAGGUUACGGCUUCAUCGCACCCGAUGGCGGCGGAAAAGACGUGUUUGUACACAUCUCUGCCGUUGAACGUGCCGGUCUUACCGGUCUGGCAGACGACCAGAAAGUAACCUUCGACAUCGAAGCAGGCCGUGACGGCCGCGAAAGCGCGUCGAAUAUCGCCCUGGCGUAAGCCACAAACAAAAGAUUUCGGAACGGGGCCCCAGGAUGGGGCCCUUUUU
rnacentral:misc_RNA from 1 species